CGUCUACCAAAAGUGCAAAAAUGUCGUCUGCUCACAUCGUCUUCAAAAUCAAAUGUUUUCAGCACAAAACAUUUCAUAUGUGUUAGUUUCGGUUUUGGCAUUGAACCAUUGGACUCAUCUGUGGAAUGAAUCCUCAUCAACCAUUAACCAUCCAAGGAUACACAUGGAUGAAGAAUCAUCAGUUUGGAUCACGCCCUACCUGAACAAAUGUGAUGCAAGCCUUGGUACAAGAGAUGUGCCAGCUUUAAUUGAAGAGAGCCCUUGAGAUGCAGCAUCAUCAUGAAUUCAAAUCAUCUUCUCACUGCCUCAUCAAGCUACUCCAGUUCAACUUGUUUGUUUACAAAACCAAGAUGAGAAGAACACUCAAGAUGAUGACAAGCCUUGGUAUGAAAGAUGCGCCAGCUUGACUGACGAGAGCCUGUGAGAUGCUGCCUCAUCAUGAUCUCAAAUACGUCAUCUUCUCAGCGUCUCAAGCUAAUUCAGUUCAACUUCUUCGUGAUUCAUUCAAUACUAAGAUGUUAAGGUACGUCUCACGUAGGGAGUUUUAUUUAUUGUAAAAAGGUCUGUUUACCUGGACACUUAAAAAACCACUCAGACAAUCAGUCUUUACUGUUUACAACUGAAACAAAGUUGCUAUUUAUUCCAAAAGCUAUGAACUUAAUUCAAAGCCAAAGUGUACUUCGUAAACAGAUCUUUACACGUACAGCCCUAUGUGGCUGUUUUUGUUAUGAAGUGAAAACUUUAUGCUGAAUAUUGUUGUGUACAGUUUGUAGCUCCUUUGAAUCAUCAGGCCUGAUACUUUGCAGAGACAAGUAACGCAGCAAUUGCCUCCGUGCACACGGUCUUGGUCAUUGCCUUGGUGCCGAUUGAGUACUAAUUCAAAUUUCCCUCACUGACUCCCGCAUUUUAAUGAGAAAAGCUGCCUUGCCUUUAUAAGAAUGAAGCAUCAGGCCUGAAGAAUGGGUAAUGAAAUGCAGAAAUAUAGGGCUACUAGCUUCGACUAACAUUUUUUAGUGAAUACCAAAGCAGUGUAGUGAACAAUCAUGCAACAUAGGCUAACAUGUACACAGUUUUAGAACAACUUUACACGGAUGUCAGAGUUUGAAACAUGUUCUUAAUACCUAGUUUGAUAUUUAUUUGUGGUAAAUUUGAUGUAUUUGUAUCACACGUGAUUAUAUUUAUCUGCAAAACAUUGUACGAGCCGA